rnacentral:rRNA from 1 species
GACGAACGCUGGCGGCGUGCUUAACACAUGCAAGUCGAACGGAAAGGCCCUGCUUGCAGGGUGCUCGAGUGGCGAACGGGUGAGUAACACGUGGGUGAUCUGCCCCUUAUUUUGGGAUAAGCCUGGGAAACUGGGUCUAAUACUGGAUAGGACCAUGCUGUAGGUGGUGUGGUGGAAAGAUUAGUUUCGGUAAGGGAUGAGCUCGCGGCCUAUCAGCUUGUUGGUGGGGUAAUGGCCUACCAAGGCGUCGACGGGUAGCCGGCCUGAGAGGGUGGACGGCCACAUUGGGACUGUGAUACGGCCCAGACGCCUACGGGAGGCAGCAGUGGGGAAGAGGGCACAAUGGGCGCAAGCCUGAUGCAGCGACGCAGCGUGGGGGAUGAAGGCCUUCGGGUUGUAAACUCCUUUCAGCCAUGACGAAGCCCUUGUGGUGACGGUAGUGGUAGAAGAAGCACCGGCUAACUACGUG